GACGUAGGGCGCGAGCGUUGUCCGGAUUUAUUGGGCGUAAAGAGCUCGUAGGCGGCUUGUCGCGUCGUGUGUGAAAUCUCAGGGCUCAACUCUGACAUUGCAUACGAUACGGGCAGGCUUGAGUUCGGUAGGGGAGACUGGAAUUCCUGGUGUAGCGGUGAAAUGCGCAGAUAUCUGGAGGAACACCGGUGGCGAAGGCGGCAUCCUGGACCGGCAUUGACGCUGAGGCGCGAAAGCCAGGGGAGCAAACGGG
rnacentral:rRNA from 1 species